rnacentral:rRNA from 1 species
AUUGAACGCUGGCGGCAGGCCUAACACAUGCAAGUCGAGCGGGGUUUUCGGACCUAGCGGCGGACGGGUGAGUAAUGCGUAGGAAGCUACCCGAUAGAGGGGGAUACCAGUUGGAACGACUGUUAAUACCGCAUAAUGUCUACGGACCAAAGUGUGGGACCUUCGGGCCACAUGCUAUCGGAUGCGCCUACGUGGGAUUAGCUAGUUGGUGGGGUAAUGGCUCACCAAGGCGACGAUCCCUAGCUGGUUUGAGAGGAUGAUCAGCCACACUGGAACUGAGACACGGUCCAGACUCCUACGGGAGGCAGCAGUGGGGAAUAUUGGACAAUGGGCGCAAGCCUGAUCCAGCCAUGCCGCGUGUGUGAAGAAGGGCCUUCGGGUUGGUUAAAGACACUUUC